UUCCUGAUUUUGCGGUAACGUAUUGGAUAAUGCUUUUAUUUUAAGCUGCUGACCGGUAUUGGCUCUGACGCGCACCACCGGCGGUGAAAUAAGAAAAGGCACGCGGAUAUUUUCCGGGGCAAUGGAAGUAUUACCGUCGUCGAUCCACGCCUGUACCAGGGCGCCGCGAUCGCCGCGAUUCAUUAACUGCACCAUCACCUCAUUUUUACCGGCCGGAUAAAUAACGCGCGUCCCAUAGAUCACAAUACCCGCCUGUGCGGGGAUAAUGAAAAAGGUCAGUAGCAGCAGAAUGAAUCCUUUCAUCUCUUUCACUCCAUGUAAACAGAGACCCGGCGAACGCCCUGCGUCUCGCCGGUCCGGCUAACUACGUGCCAGCAGCCGCGGUAAUACGUAGGGAGCAAGCGUUGUCCGGAUUUACUGGGUGUAAAGGGUGCGUAGGCGGCUUUGCAAGUCAGAUGUGAAAUCUAUGGGCUCAACCCAUAGCCUGCAUUUGAAACUGCAGAGCUUGAGUGAAGUAGAGGCAGGCGGAAUUCCCCGUGUAGCGGUGAAAUGCGUAGAGAUGGGGAGGAACACCAGUGGCGAAGGCGGCCUGCUGGGCUUUAACUGACGCUGAGGCACGAAAGCGUGGGUAGCAAACAGGAUUAGAUACCCUGGUAGUCCACGCUGUAAACGAUGAUUACUAGGUGUGGGGGGUCUGACCCCUUCCGUGCCGGAGUUAACACAAUAAGUAAUCCACCUGGGGAGUACGGCCGCAAGGUUGAAACUCAAAGGAAUUGACGGGGGCCCGCACAAGCAGUGGAGUAUGUGGUUUAAUUCGAAGCAACGCGAAGAACCUUACCAGGUCUUGACAUCCGAUGCAUAGCACAGAGAUGUGUGAAAUCCUUCGGGACAUCGAGACAGGUGGUGCAUGGUUGUCGUCAGCUCGUGUCGUGAGAUGUUGGGUUAAG
rnacentral:rRNA from 1 species